rnacentral:rRNA from 1 species
GACGAACGCUGGCGGCGUGCUUAACACAUGCAAGUCGAACGGAAAGGCCGUGCGUUUGUGGGGUGCUGGGGUGGCGAAGGCGGGAGGAAGACGAGAGUAACGUGACCUUGACUUUCGGAGAACUUCAGGAAACUGGGGCUAAUACCGUAUAGCAUCUCCUGCUCCGUGGGGGGGGGGGGAAAGUGGCGGCGGGUGGGGAUGGACUGGCGGCUUAUCGGCUGGCUGGUGGGGUAGUGGCAGACCAAGGCUUUGACGGGUAGCCGGCCUGAGAGGGUGACCGGCCACAUUGCGACUAAGGGACGGCCCAGUCGCCUACGGGAGGCAGCAGUGGCGAGUAUGACCCAACGGCCGGGAGCCGGUGGCGGCAACGCCGCGUGCGGGAUGACGGCCUCCGGGGAGUGAACCGCUUUCGCCUGUGACGAAGCGUGAGUGACGGUAAUGGGUAAAGAAGCACCGGCUAACUACGUG